CUACUACUCCCUCCGUUCGGAAUUACUUGUCUCGAAAAUGGAUGUAUCUAGAACUAAAAUACGUCUAGAUACAACCAUUUCUACGACAAGUAAUUCCGAACGGAGGGAGUACUUU
rnacentral:pre_miRNA from 1 species